rnacentral:rRNA from 1 species
GACGAACGCUGGCGGCGUGCUUAACACAUGCAAGUCGAACGGAAAGGCCCUGCUUUUGUGGGGUGCUCGAGUGGCGAACGGGUGAGUAACACGUGAGUAACCUGCCCUUGACUUUGGGAUAACUUCAGGAAACUGGGGCUAAUACCGGAUAGGAGCUCCUGCUGCAUGGUGGGGGUUGGAAAGUUUCGGCGGUUGGGGAUGGACUCGCGGCUUAUCAGCUUGUUGGUGGGGUAGUGGCUUACCAAGGCUUUGACGGGUAGCCGGCCUGAGAGGGUGACCGGCCACAUUGGGACUGAGAUACGGCCCAGACUCCUACGGGAGGCAGCAGUGGGGAAUAUUGCGCAAUGGGCGGAAGCCUGAUGCAGCAACGCCGCGUGCGGGAUGACGGCCUUCGGGUUGUAAACCGCUUUCGCCUGUGACGAAGCGUGAGUGACGGUAAUGGGUAAAGAAGCACCAGCUAACUACGUG